UCGGGUAUGGUGUAACGGCUAACAUUGCCGCCUCUCAUAUGGCAACGAUAGCUAGAAUUGUGCGCGGCAGCUCGGGGUUCGAUUCCCCGUACCCGAA